CUAAAAGCAAGAGAAGGGAGAAUGAAGAAGAAGGGAAGAAGGGGAACACCUACCCAUUUAAGGAGUAGAAUCAAAAAGUGACGGGAGCAUGAGGCACGAGACCAUUAACUAUCUACCACCAUCUAGGACUCAAGAUGUUGACAUAGGUAACCAUUCGGAGCCUGUGGCUGAGGAGCUGGCCCUUUAGGAAGUUGAACUCUGGGAUGAGGAGCUAGUUAUGCAUGAAGACGGAUGUGUAUGUGACGAUUGUGCAUUUGGGGCACGUUGAGGAUGAGAGGAUCAUCUUCCUUUUUCUAUUCUUUUGCUUUACAUAUCAGAUAUAGCCUUAAUGGCAUAACAAAAAUUAUGACUUCCGCUGUGAAAACUCUUUUGGAAUAUGAUAAAUAUAAUUAGACAUCACUAGU